UACGUAGGGGGCAAGCGUUGUCCGGAAUUAUUGGGCGUAAAGAGCGUGUAGGCGGUCCGGUAAGUCAGCUGUGAAAGUCAAGGGCUCAACCCUUGAAAGCCGGUUGAUACUGUCGGGCUAGAGUCCGGAAGAGGCGAGUGGAAUUCCCGGUGUAGCGGUGAAAUGCGCAGAUAUCGGGAGGAACACCAAUGGCGAAGGCAGCUCGCUGGGACGGUACUGACGCUGAGACGCGAAAGCGUGGGGAGGCAACAGGA
rnacentral:rRNA from 1 species